rnacentral:rRNA from 1 species
GAUGUUAGCGGCGGACGGGUGAGUAACACGUGGGUAACCUGCCUGUAAGACUGGGAUAACUCCGGGAAACCGGAGCUAAUACCGGAUAGUUCCUUGAACCGCAUGGUUCAAGGAUGAAAGACGGUUUCGGCUGUCACUUACAGAUGGACCCGCGGCGCAUUAGCUAGUUGGUGAGGUAACGGCUCACCAAGGCGACGAUGCGUAGCCGACCUGAGAGGGUGAUCGGCCACACUGGGACUGAGACACGGCCCAGACUCCUACGGGAGGCAGCAGUAGGGAAUCUUCCGCAAUGGACGAAAGUCUGACGGAGCAACGCCGCGUGAGUGAUGAAGGUUUUCGGAUCGUAAAGCUCUGUUGUUAGGGAAGAACAAGUGCAAGAGUAACUGCUUGCACCUUGACGGUACCUAACCAGAAAGCCACGGCUAACUACGUGCCAGCAGCCGCGGUAAUACGUAGGUGGCAAGCGUUGUCCGGAAUUAUUGGGCGUAAAGGGCUCGCAGGCGGUUUCUUAAGUCUGAUGUGAAAGCCCCCGGCUCAACCGGGGGGAGGGUCAUUGGAAACUGGGAAACUUGAGUGCAGAAGAGGAG